UCUAAACCUAUAUUUUUUGGCGGCCUUUUUUCUUUUCAGAGGAAUUUGUCUAUUAAUCGUNAACUACCCGUUUAUUUUCACUUUUUUUCAUUUUCUAUACCGCCGUCUUAAGAUAAAAAUUCAAAUUUUUGCCUCAAGCUUCUUUGUAAAGUCAGGUCAAGGUGGAGAUUAUAAAAAAGUUUAGAUUAAUUAUUCAUAAAUGUUAUUUAAAGCCAGUUUUCUAAAGAUAGUUUAAAUAAAGAUUUGAAAGUAGCUUUUUAUUAAAUAUUAAAAGCGAAUUUGUCUUAGGUGUACAUAUCGCCCGUCACCCUCGUCUAAAGAUGAGGUAAGUCGUAACAUAGUUAGUGUACUGGAAAGUG
rnacentral:rRNA from 1 species